rnacentral:rRNA from 1 species
CCUACGGGAGGCAGCAGUGAGGAAUAUUGGUCAAUGGACGAGAGUCUGAACCAGCCAAGUAGCGUGAAGGAUGACUGCCCUAUGGGUUGUAAACUUCUUUUAUAUGGGAAUAAAACGUUCCACGUGUGGGAUUUUGUAUGUACCAUAUGAAUAAGGAUCGGCUAACUCCGUGCCAGCAGCCGCGGUAAUACGGAGGAUCCGAGCGUUAUCCGGAUUUAUUGGGUUUAAAGGGAGCGUAGGUGGAUUGUUAAGUCAGUUGUGAAAGUUUGCGGCUCAACCGUAAAAUUGCAGUUGAUACUGGCAGUCUUGAGUACAGUAGAGGUGGGCGGAAUUCGUGGUGUAGCGGUGAAAUGCUUAGAUAUCACGAAGAACUCCGAUUGCGAAGGCAGUUCACUGAACUGCAACUGACACUGAGGCUCGAAAGUGUGGGUAUCAAACAGGAUUAGAUACCCGUGUAGUC